rnacentral:rRNA from 1 species
GACGAACGCUGGCGGCGUGCCUAAUACAUGCAAGUCGAGCGGACGGAUGGGAGCUUGCUCCCAGACCGUCAGCGGCGGACGGGUGAGUAACACGUGGGCAACCUGCCUGUAAGACUGGGAUAACUCCGGGAAACCGGGGCUAAUACCGGAUAACUCUUUCCCUCACAUGAGGGAAAGCUGAAAGAUGGCAUCUCGCUAUCACUUACAGAUGGGCCCGCGGCGCAUUAGCUAGUUGGUGAGGUAACGGCUCACCAAGGCGACGAUGCGUAGCCGACCUGAGAGGGUGAUCGGCCACACUGGGACUGAGACACGGCCCAGACUCCUACGGGAGGCAGCAGUAGGGAAUCUUCCGCAAUGGACGAAAGUCUGACGGAGCAACGCCGCGUGAGUGAUGAAGGUUUUCGGAUCGUAAAACUCUGUUGUCAGGGAAGAACAAGUACCGGAGUAACUGCCGGUACCUUGACGGUACCUGACCAGAAAGCCAUGGCUAACUACGUG